rnacentral:rRNA from 1 species
UGAAGUGAUGAUGGCAAAGAGGUCACACCCGUUCCCAUACCGAACACGGAAGUUAAGCUCUUUAGCGCCGAUGGUAGUUGGGGGUUUCCCCCUGUGAGAGUAGGACAUCGCUUCGC